GUGGAUCCUGUGAACUGCAGGACACAUGAACACCGACAAGUUGAACGCAUAUUGCACAUCGUACCACAGUACGAUGUACACAUUUUUGAGUGCCUAUAUUUAUCGAUACAACUAUACGUGUGCGUGCGCGUCCCACGACCGGGUGGACAGGUGCACGGCCCAUGGCACGUAUGCGUAGUGAUGUUUUCCCUUGCGCUCCGGCUAUGCGGUAAAACAUUUAAGAUAGUCAUCCGCCCACACACCGUGAACGGUUGAUGAAUACAUCCCAUACCCGCCUCGGUGGCGCCGUGGCUAUGUUGUAUUCCAUCUUCGACGAUCAUCAUACCUAGUAGGCCUCAAAUAAUGUGUGACUACCCCCUAAAUUAAAGCAUAUCGACAC
rnacentral:rRNA from 3 species